GCGCGAAAAGUUUACAAUGCGGGAAACCGUGAUAAGGGAACUCCGAGUGCCCGUAAAAUCGGGCUGUCCAUCUGUUUAAAUAACAGGUGAAGAAAGGGCCGGGCAAGACCGGUGCCAGCCGCCGCGGUAAUACCGGCGGCUCGAGUGGUGGCCACUAUUACUGGGCUUAAAGCGUUCGUAGCUGGUCUGUUAAGUCUCUGGGGAAAUCUACUGGCUUAACCAAUAGGCGUUUCAGGGAUACUGGCAGACUAGGGACCGGGAGAGGUGAGAGGUACUCCAGGGGUAGGA
rnacentral:rRNA from 1 species